GCUGUAGCUCAGUGGCAGAGUCCAUGCUUUGCAUGCAGAGGUUCCAGGUUUAAUCCCUGCCAUCUCUA